ensembl:rRNA 5S_rRNA 5S ribosomal RNA
GCCGGCAUCCAUUUCCGAAGCAGCCUAGAAGGGCCCGAUCUCGCCGCGAUCGCGGAAGCUAAGCAGGGUCUGGGCCUGGUUAGAACUUGGAUGGGAGACCUCUAGGGAAGACCGGGUGUUCUAGGCU